UACGUAGGAGGCAAGCGUUGUCCGGAAUUACUGGGCGUAAAGCGCGUGUAGGUGGUGGGACAAGUCUGCUGUGAAAGCGCCUGGCUUAACCGGGCGAGGUCGGCGGAAACUGUCCGACUAGAGGACGGUAGAGGGGGGUGGAAUUCCCGGUGUAGUGGUGAAAUGCGUAGAGAUCGGGAGGAACACCUGUGGCGAAGGCGGCCCCCUGGCCGGCCCUGACACUGAGACGCGAAGGCGUGGGGAGCGAACGGG
rnacentral:rRNA from 1 species